AUUGAACGCUGGCGGCAGGCCUAACACAUGCAAGUCGAGCGGAUGAGAGGAGCUUGCUUCUCGAUUCAGCGGCGGACGGGUGAGUAAUGCCUAGGAAUCUGCCUGGUAGUGGGGGACAACGUUUCGAAAGGAACGCUAAUACCGCAUACGUCCUACGGGAGAAAGCAGGGGACCUUCGGGCCUUGCGCUAUCAGAUGAGCCUAGGUCGGACUAGCUAGUUGGUGGGGUAAUGGCUCACCAAGGCGACGAUCCGUAACUGGUCUGAGAGGAUGAUCAGUAACACUGGAGCUGAGACACGGUCCAGAGUCCUAAGGGAGGCAGCAGGGGGGAAUAUUGGACAAUGGGCGAAAGCCUGAUCCAGCCAUGCCGCGUGUGUGAAGAAGGUCUUCGGAUUGUAAAGCACUUUAAGUUGGGAGGAAGGGUUGUAGAUUAAUACUCUGCAAUUUUGACGUUACCGACAGAAUAAGCACCGGCUAACUCUGUGCCAGCCGCCGCCGUAA
rnacentral:rRNA from 1 species